rnacentral:lncRNA from 10 species
CUUGCCACCACCGUGAGAGAGGCACCUUUCGCCUCCCACCAUGAUUCUGAGGCCUCCCCAGCUACGUGGAACUUCCCUUCCCUCCUUCUCCCUCUUCUCCCUUUACUCCUCUCUCUUCCCCUCCUAAUCUCUCUCCCUCUUCUCCCUUUACUCCUCUCUCUUCCCCUCCUACUCUCUCCCCCUCUCCCUCUUUCCUGUUUAAAGGACUCCUUUGGAGAUUGCAACAUACAUCCAGGAUUGAUGUUAAUUAACACCUUGGGCUUAGGGGUCAACGGAUCCAGACAAAGGCUCUGCCCAGUGACCACAUUAAGAUGGAACUGAAGGAAUGAAAAGGGACAAAGUCAAUGACAAUGAAGAAAAUCAGAAAAGACCAUCGACGACGAAUGAGAGACUUCCACAAAUUUAUGCAAGAGGAAAGGUGGGGAGAGACUUUCAUUUCUGGGAGUGCAGUAGAUUGAAUAUUCUGCAAGGUCCUGCUGCUAAAAACUGAAUCCUACAUAAAUUACAACCAACAUGACUUUAAAUGCCUUGCUGGGAUCAGAAGAAAGUGAGGGAAAUCUCCAAAAGCCAGAAGUCAAAAAAAAAAAGAAGGAAUGAAGGAGGAAAAGGAGGGAGAAAAGACAAAGAAAAAGAAAAAGUGAGCCAAACACAGAGGAGUAAGCAGUGAUCAGUAUGAAGAAAUUUCACCCUUCAUGUGGUAUAUGGUUCUAAAACCACCAAGAGAUGGAAUUGUGCAUAAUAAAAAGAACAGGACAUACAAGAAAGCUGGGAUUGGAGAAAACACUCCAAACCUGUAUAGUCUCAUAAAAAAUUUACUGAACUGUAAUAACAAAAGUAAAUAAACACAUACACAAAUGCUACUGCCAUUUUUUGUUUUCUAUAAAUAAAUAAUAUUGUAAUCAUAGACAAAACAUUUAAACGUGCUUGCUGUGGUCAAAUGCUGUGGAGAAGAGGUAGUAAGAAGGGACAACGUCAUUCUCAGGCUGAGAUGUGGUGACCCCCGAGGUGGAAGGUUGUGGCUCAUUGUCUGCAUUUCUUUCUUUUACUCUGGCUUGAAAUAGAACCCUACCUUUGUUGUCUUCCAGUUUCUUCCUUUCAUAAAGAAGCUGUAUGUGCAACUCCAAAGGCAUCCAGACACCAAGUGCCAUCCUGCUGCUCUGAGCACUGGAGUCUGCAGCUCCAAUCCUUGGCAAACCCUUCCCAGUCCCAAUUAGCACAGAUGAUAACUGGGACGUGAUCAUCUC